UGGGGAAUAUUGCACAAUGGAGGGAACUCUGAUGCAGCGACGCCGCGUGAGUGAUGAAGGAAUUCGUUUCGUAAAACUCUGUUCUAUGGGAAGAAAAGGACUGUACCAUAGGAGAAAGCUCCGGCUAAAUACGUGCCAGCAGCCGCGGUAAUACGUAUGGAGCGAGCGUUGUCCGGAAUUAUUGGGCGUAAAGGGUGCGCAGGCGGCUUUACAAGUUGGAUGUGAAAUAUUGUGGCUCAACCACAAACGUGCAUCCAAAACUGCAAAGCUUGAGUUAAGGAGAGGUAAGUGGAAUUCCUGGUGUAGCGGUGGAAUGCGUAGAUAUCAGGAGGAAUACCGGUGGCGCAGGCGACUUACUGGACUUAAACUGACGCUCAGGCACGAAAGCGUGGGGAGCAAACAGG
rnacentral:rRNA from 1 species